rnacentral:lncRNA from 1 species
ACUUAUAUAUAAUAAAUAAAUAAAUCUUUAAAAAAAAAAAAGAAAUCAUUUAGCCGUCAAGAUUUGCUUCUAAGGCUGAAUGCCACCUCUAUCCAUGGCUCAGUCCAUUAACUAACUGGCUCUGGCACAUUGCCUGCACCUUGAGCCAAAGCUGCUAAGUGGUGGGUGGGUUUUUUGGGUUUGUUUUUUUAAACAGGACAAUGCUUUUUCUUCCUGAUGUUUCCAAGAGACAGGCGCAGUUGGCCAGCAGCUCUCGUGCAAGAGAGCCUGGUGACGAUACUUGAAUCUGUUGCUGGCAUCUUUCACUCCCUAAUCUGUGUUUACACGGCACUGAAAAUUGACUCUCUGAUGCCAAGCUCUGUUUCUGUGCAGUACUCCUGCACGGUUGGCAGAGAUCCCCUCCCUAGUCUCUUCACAGUACCACCCUACACGUGUAUUUAUUGCACAGCUGUUUUCAGAAGCGUACGCUGUACAGGAUGUCUCUGGAGUUGGGGCUAGAGCUGAAAUCAUUUUGUUCCCAGUUACAAAGCCAGCAUGUGCAUUUCUGAACCUUUUCCCUGGUUGUAGAUUUAAUCUUCUGCUUGAGAAAAUAGUUGUUUCUUUAAUCUCUCUUAGCAACUAACAUUUAGUUCAUCAUACGUGAAGAAAGCCAAUUUACUUCUUUGUGUUUGGGGUUAGAGAUAUGCUUUUCUAGUAAGUUAGAAGAAAUGGUAAGGAGCUAAAGCAGUCUGAGACUGGCUGUUAAAGGAGAUGUCAGUGAUCUAGAUAAUAGAAGUGAAAGCCUGGGGAAUAAUUUGGAAGCUCAGUGGAAUGAAGCCUCUAUCAAAAUGAAAAGUGAUUCCUUCCAGGGAAGUGGUAGAUCUUCUAACUAAAAUGGUUUGCAUUAUUAAUGAGGCCAAGAAAAUCUGAGCCUGAUUCUUUUUAAGAAAUUUUUGGGCUGGAGAAUGGCUCAGCAAGGCUAGGCUGACAACCAAAAA